AGUUUGAUCAUGGCCUAGAUUGAACGCUGGCGGAUGCUUUUACACAUGCAAGUCGAACGGCAGCACGGACUUCGGUCUGGUGGCGAGUGGCGAACGGGUGAGUAAUGUAUCGGAACGUGCCUAGUAGGGGGAUAACUACGCGAAAGCUGUAGCUAAUACCGCAUACGCCCUUCGGGGAAAGCGGGGACCUUCGGGCCUCGCAAUUAUUAGAGCGGCCGAUAUCGGAUUAGCUAGUUGGUGGGGUAACGGCUCACCAAGGCGACGAUCCGUAGCUGGUUUGAGAGGACGACCAGCUACACUGGGACUGAGACACGGCCCAGACUCCUACGGGAGGCAGUGGGGAAUUUUGGACAAUGGGGAAACCCUGAUCCAGCCAUCCCGCGUGUGCGAUGGAAGGCCUCGGGUUGUAAAGCACUUUUGGCAGGAAGGAAACGGCACGGGAUAAUACCCCGUGCAACUGACGGUACCUGCAGAAUAAGCACCGGCUAACUACGUGUCAGCAGCCGCGGUAAUACGUAGGGUGCAAGCGUUAAUCGGAAUUACUGGCGUAAAGCGUGCGCAGGCGGUUCGGAAAGAAAGAUGUGAAAUCCCAGAGCUUAACUUUGGAACUGCAUUUUUAACUACCGAGCUAGAGUGUGUCAGAGGGAGGUGGAAUUCCGCGUGUAGCAGUGAAAUGCGUAGAUAUGCGGAGGAACACCGAUGGCGAAGGCAGCCUCCUGGGAUAACACUGACGCUCAUGCACGAAAGCGUGGGGAGCAAACAGGAUUAGAUACCCUGGCAGUCCUCACGCCCUAAACGAUGUCAACUAGCUGUUGGGGCCUUCGGGCCUUGGUAGCGCAGCUAACGCGUGAAGUUGACCGCCUGGGGAGUACGGUCGCAAGAUUAAAACUCAAAGAAUUGACGGGGACCGCACAAGCUAUGGAUGAUGUGGAUUAAUUCGAUGCAACGCGAAAACCUUACCUACCCUUGACAUGUCUGGAAUCCCGAAGAGAUUUGGGAGUGCUCGCAAGAGAACCGGAACACAGGUGCUGCAUGGCUGUCGUCAGCUCGUGUCGAGAUGUUGCUGCAAGUCUCGCAACGAGCGCAACCCUUGUCAUUAGUUGGCGCAUGAAAGGGUACCUAAUGAGACUGCCGGGGUGACAAACCGGAGGAAGGUGGGGAUGACGUCAAGUCCUCGCGGCCCUGCGGUAGGGCUUCACACGUCAUACAAUGGUCGGGACAGAGGGUCGCCAACCCGCGAGGGGGAGCCAUCCCAGAAACCCGAUCGUAGUCCGACUGCAGUCUGCAACUCGACUGCGUGAAGUCGGAAUCAAGCAGUAAUCGCGGAUCAGCAUGUCGCGGUGAAUACGUUCCCGGGUCUUGUACACACCGCCCGUCACACCAUGGGAGUGGGUUUUACCAGAAGUAGUUAGCCUAACCGUAAGGAUGGGCGAUUACCACGGUAGGAUUCAUGACUGGGGUGGUCGUAACAAGGUAA
rnacentral:rRNA from 1 species